rfam:Picea glauca, whole genome shotgun sequence.
GUAUGUCGAUCAUACUAGCAUUAAUGCAGCAGAUCCCAUCAUAACUCUGCAGUUAAGCACGCUUGGGCUAAAGUAGUACUAGGAUGGGUGACCUCUCGGGAAGUCCUAGUGUUGCACCCU